AAGUUCUGUGGUGAAAACACGUCAGAUUGCAAAUCUGAAGAUGUAGGCUGACACCUACCGGGGCUU
rnacentral:tRNA from 1 species